ACAAACACACACUUCCCGCCUCAGUGCGAGGGUCGCGGGCAGGAGCGGGGACGGUCCCCUCAGAGAGGGACGGGCGUGAUGUCGGUGGCACUCUCCGUGAGGCAGGGACGGGACAGCGAGGGUAGCGGGAGCCGGGCGGCACCUUAGCGGGGACAGUCCGCGGGGCCGAGCGCCGGGGUUCCCGGGCUGCCCCCGCCACCGCCCUCCUCACCGGCUGACAUUUGCCAUGCGCAGACAACACGCACUUCACCAAACAAUUCAGCCCGAGCCCCGCUGCAAACUCGCUGGGUUAUUUUUCUCGUCGUUCUCCGCUUGUUUAUGGCUGACGCUAUCUCGCCUGCACCGCUCCCUCGGUUUCAUUAUCUCUCCUCGCAGAUGGCCGUGGCUUUCCUUCUUCACAGGGCUUCUCUCUGCUGGUGCUAGAGCUCCCUCUCCUCUCUCCAGCUCUGCAUCCCUCACCCUUGCUCACAGGUGGUGUUCCCAAAUUGGUCCCACCUCAUCCCCCUCAGCUCCAGCCCCAGUUCUUCCUGCUGUGGCUUCUCCUUCCCUGAAUCCCAUUUACUUUAUUCCUGGCGAGCCUUCCCCAGCGAAGCGCUUCACUCCAGCCAUCCUUCCUCCUGCAGUCCCCUCUCCUCUGAAGACCCCAGCAUCCCGUAAAAUAAAGCCAAUGGCGCUAAUGUAAUAACAGUGCCAUUGUGCCCAGCGGGACCAGGGCAGUGACCGUCCCCUGUGCUGGGGCACCUCCAAUCCCGGGGAUUAAAGAAGUGCAACCAUUUCCAAGGAUUCAAAGGUGUGGUGGGAAAAGGAAAAAAGUUUUUUACCUCAUUGGCAGAGAAUUUAAGGAUAGGUGUAACAGCCAGCAUGUCCCUAAGGCAGCACCUGAGUGGGUAAUGUCUGUGACAUCCUUUAAGGAAGAUGCUUCCUCUGGAUCACUUUCUUGUGAGCCACCACAAUGAACCAUCCUGGUAGAGCUGGGAGCCUCCAUGCAGGCUGGAUCCUGAGCCCUGGGUUCAUUCUGAACUUGGUUGUGCUGCUUCCCUGUGGAGAACUCUGACCACCCUUCCAAAAUACUCUGUGACUGUUUUCCUCUCUCAGAGACUGAGUUAGAGGAAAUAUUUCACAGAGCAAUAGCUGGGCAAAUGCAAAUCCUCCUUGCAGAGUUCUUUUAACUUCAAGCCACUAAAUACACAUUUAGUCUAUGGAACUGUAUUUACUUCCCCUCUCAGAGGAACAAGCUUUGUCAGCUGUAAUGAUGAGCUGUUGUUUGACAUUCAUAAUAUUGUACUUGACUGCUUAUCUGAUGGAGGCAUGCAAAGCUAUUUAGGGGCUUCUGAAAUGUGACAGCCCACAUGAUGCUUUUAUAGAUUUCACAAACCGCCUUCAGGAGGCAGGAGAAUAUGGCAUGGGAAUGGCUGGCUGGAACAACAGCCUGCCUUAAUGCCAGCGGGGUGGCUGAGCUGGGGAGGAGGAAUGGGCUUUGAAAGUUUGCAGCUUUUGUUGUGUGCUGUCAAAGGAAGAACUUGCAGCCUGAAGGAACAGGCAUGGUGGAUGCCAUGGGUGGGGGACUGUGGGGAUUAUUGAUCCUGCCUGGAAAAGGCAUAAAGAUGGAGGCAAAUGUGUUAAAACCUGUUUGGACCAUCCACAGACAGAAGGGGGCUCAAGGGAGACAGCUCAGAUGCCCCAUUUCAUGCUAUCUUCUCUUAAUAAACAGGAAGAUCUCACUUUCUGACAAA